rnacentral:tRNA from 1 species
GCCUGGGUGGCUCAGUCGGUUGAGUGUCUGACUUUGGCUCAGGUCAUGAUCUCAUGGUUGAUGGGUUUGAGUCCCGCAUCGGGCU